rnacentral:rRNA from 1 species
UGGCAAGCAUUGUCCGGAUUUAUUGGGCGUAAAGCGAGUGCAGGCGGUUCAAUAAGUCUGAUGUUAAAGCCCUCGGCUCAACCGGAGAAAUUCAUCAGAAACUGUUGAACUUGAGUGCAGAAGAGGAGAGUGGAACUCCAUGUGUAGCGGUGGAAUGCGUAGAUAUAUGGAAGAACACCAGUGGCGAAGGCGGCUCUCUGGUCUGCAACUGACGCUGAGGCUCGAAAGCAUGGGUAGCGAACA